GAGGAGAGGAAGAAUUCCAGACACGUCAUCCUGAUUUCACAAGUCUUCAGAGAUCUCCAGAGUGGACUUACCCAUCUGUGUGAGGAGGAAGGCUAUACAUGCAAAUUCAGAUUCCUGAUGCAUUCCCACUAACUCUGCCCUUCUGUUCUGGAAGAAUUAGGAAAAACUGUGGGCUGCCAAAAGCUGAAGACAACCACUUUAUCUGCAAGAGAAUAUUCAUUUAUGGGACUUCAGUGGUGACAUAGGUUUGAAAACAGGAAAAGAGGCUUAAAGCCUUCCUCAGGAGAGAGAUUUACUCACAAUUUUCUCCAGUGUCAUUCAGGGGCCAAGUUUUCAAGUCUUCCAGAUUUUGACUUGUUUUGAUAUCACUGCAAAAUCCUGCAAGAAUUCUGCCAAUAGCAAGGCCACUGUGUUUGAAAGCAGAUGGCAUUUCCAGUACCUAAAGCCUGGUCAGGUUGAUUGCUUUGAGUCUGUAAGGUCAUCAUGGUUGAAGGCAUGAAGAUGAGGACAUCAAAGCCUUUGCCCACUUCUGACAAUUACUCUGGAGACAAACACAGCUCAGAAGACAAAUGUUAUGAGCUACCUGUAAGUUCUGGUUCACAAGACAGAUGAGAAUCCAGAGAUACUUCUGAACUUGGAAAUGAAAUUUAUUCUCAAGGUGGAGCCUCAUCUUGAGUAGCCUUGGGAGGGUCAAAGGUGCUUCCUUUUCCAAUUCGCUGCCUGGAUUUUAGAAGAUCCCAAUUUUUAGCAUCUAAACAAGGAAAUCACAGCUAUUUCCAUGGGAAAACCACAGAGAUGACAGGGCUUCCCCCCAGAACACUGCCUGUGUAAUUGCUGAAGACAUUCCAAGCCACUCUAACGAAGUGCUGUCUGCCAGUCAUUAUGUUCUCCUUGGAGGACCAUCUGUUGCACUUCAAAUAUGUAAAGGUCUCUAUCAUUUAUUGCUCCAAACAAAUCCAGGCCUUUGUCUGACGUGUUGGAGCUCCUGAAUGGAUUCUAAAGGUGGUUUCAGCCACAAAGGACAGGGUGUUCCCUUUGGUUGUACUCCUUCAGCUCAAAUUUCAGAGCACAAAUAUACUGAUUAAACCAAUAGCUGAAUAUUUUCAAUUUAGUUAGAAAUAAUUGUGAACAACAACAACUGAAAAUAUCUGAAACAUGUUUUCAUUCAGCUAGGAGGACAUUAGAAGAUUUUUGCUUCUGGUGAACAAAUCUUUCCAUUGUAGUGGUAUCCAGAUUUGAUAUAUGCUGAGGUUGGAAUGAAAAUUACCUUUUUUAAACUAAUUUUUUUGAUUAGCUUAUUUGUAUCUGAAACUGGUGAUUCAAAGGAAUAGUAAAAAAUAGAGUCAGCAGCUUGAAAUGCUCAAAUCUUCCUUAGCACAUGUCCUUUACAGGGAUGUAAUACUUAGUUGUACAGUCAUUAUUUAUAGGUUAAUUAGGAUCCUUUCCAUGAGUAAAAUGAGCAAGAUCAGGCAUUAAAAUAUGCUGGUUUUUGUUUCUCCUGCUGCAGAUUUCCAAGAGCUGUACAGUCAGCUUGGAGAACAUGAGCAUUGUCUUUUCACAGUGGAAAAGUUCUGUUCAGAGAUUUCCAGCCAGAGAAAUCCAUAACAAUUUCUCUCUGGUUAGGGAGUGGUCCUGUCUUUUUCCCUUUCUUUUCUUUGCUUUCUCCUUCCUGCACAGCAGCUAAUGUUCUGGUCAGAAGUAAUAAUAUGUUAGAUCUUGAAUGUCAGCAGCCCCAGAGAUCCUGACAAGACUAUUCAUGUGCAUUCAUACGUCUUAACCAAAGCUGACACUAAAGAGAGCAAGAAUUCUCAUAUUCCUCUUUUUAUUUCUGUGCAUUAAACUCAAAUCUUCUCUUGGAGACCUCUGCUAGAAAUGACACAUUCGCCAUUAGUAAAAAGCAUUUUAGCAAGGUCUAAACAAAGCAGCUGGACAUCAAUCUGGCUCAGAGCAGAGGCUCCUGUGAGAGCUUGCAGUGCAAAGCUGAACUCUGAUUUACACCUUACAAAUGUUGUGAGAUAA